AGUAAAAUAAGCUAAAAAAGCUUUUGGGCCCAUACCCCAAAAAUGUUGGUUAUUCCCUCUUUUACUA
rnacentral:tRNA from 1 species